rnacentral:rRNA from 1 species
UACGAAGGGGGCUAGCGUUGCUCGGAAUUACUGGGCGUAAAGCGCACGUAGGCGGCUUUCUAAGUCGGGGGUGAAAUCCUGGAGCUCAACUCCAGAACUGCCUUCGAUACUGGAGAGCUUGAGUCCGGGAGAGGUGAGUGGAACUGCGAGUGUAGAGGUGAAAUCGUAGAUAUUCGCAAGAACACCGUGGCGAAGGCGGCUC